UAGGGCUACAGUUCUCGAGGAGAAGUUUGGUGGCUCUGAGAAAAACCUUGGACUGUUUGGGGCAGGGACCGUGAGUGGGUAGGUAACUCCUCACUUGCCCUUAGCUUUGUGGUGGCUCUCGGUCUUCUUGGGCAGCAGUUGGGCAGGACGCCGCCCUGCGCGAUGGUGACGCGGCCCAGCAGCUUGUUGAGCUCCUCGUCGUUGCGGAUGGCCAGCUGCAGGUGGCGCGGGAUGAUGCGCGUCUUCUUGUUGUCGCGGGCCGCGUUGCCCGCCAGCUCCAGGAUCUCGGCCGUCAGGUACUCCAGCACGGCCGCCAGGUACACCGGCGCGCCGGCCCCCACCCGCUCGGCGUAGUUGCCCUUGGCGAGCAGGCGGUGCACGCGGCCCACCGGGAACUGCAGCCCGGCCCGCGACGAGCGCGUCUUGGCCUUGGCGCGAGCCUUGCCGCCCUGCUUUCCGCGCCCACACGUGUUUAGAGAAGGAGCUGUUGUGUAAAAAGCCGGUCUGAAGAAGGGGCUAUUAUAGUCACUGGUUGUUUCCUAAUGUUUCUUUCCCAUUGGUUUGCAGAUGUCGUUCUGAGUUAGCCAAUCAGAAGGUACUCUUGACUUGCUGGGCCCCCAGUGGUAGAAAAAUACUGCGCCAGUUAGAGGUUGACAUUAAAGCUUGUAUAUGUUGUGGAGCAGUAGAAAAUCUUGUUUUUUUGUUUGUUUUUUUCCCCCCCCCUUGGUUAGUUUGAGGCCUCCUUUGGGGCACUAUUCACUCUAUUUUCCUCUAAAGCCGAAUAAUUAUUUAGCACCCCGAGGCUAAGGAACAUUAAAAAGGGUGAAAGUCUUCUCUGGUGGUUUGUUAUUCAUCCUCUCUGCCAGAUUUCCUUCCCCUGGAUUGCUGAGAGGUCCCAGGGAGGCAUGGUUGGUUUGAAUAUUUAUGCCGAGUAAUGAAAGAAUAGAAAGGGUGAAACGCAAUAAAAGAAAAAUCUCUGGGAGUCUGCGUGGUUUGUUAGAAAGUUCCCGGAGUUGGAGUUGCGGUGACCAGAGCAAAAUAUUUGGAUUCUACAUGGGUUGAUCUUCCACCAGGGCCGAGGUGGGUUUGUUUGUUUGUUUGUUUAUUUAUUUAUUUAUUUAUUUAUUUAAUUUCAAGGAAGUCCACUUAAUUUUACUGGGAAAUCUUGGCAAAAAUCUGAUCAUUAUGGGGCUGUAAAGGUGGAUGGGGAAACAUCUUUAUUUUCUCAAGGAGUACAUGCAAUUUGGCAUUUCCCUCAAUUAUGUGUGUAGGCAACUAAUCACAAUGCAUUUUGCUAGUGCCUGUGGCUUUUCCAGUAAUGACAACCACAGACGUUUUCUUAUCAGUUUCAAGUACUGAAGGUAUUUUGAAAUGAUGUUUGCACUCCUCUGAGCUCUUGGCACUGACAUUCAUCAUUACACCUGGUGCCCCUUGUUAUUUGAUGUGUCCCUGAUGAAACACAUCAUUGCAUACACAUCCUUAAAAGAAAUACACUUUGAUAACUGCAUUUUAAUGUCGCUUUCUUAUCCAGUAUGCUUUAAGUAUGGAGAAGGUGUCCAGAUUUCCUCAGACCGUCCAUAGACUCCAUAGCAGGAAAGAACUCAGAUACUGCUGAUCACAUCUCCAGUGGGCACAGAUUACUCAAGGUUCAAGUCCCUUUUGACUUUGUUUCUUGAUUUGCAGCCUUCCUCCCCUACGCUUACGGCUUAAUAGCUUAUUAACAUUUAUUAUUUUCAAACUUUGUUAAAACAGGCCUGGGGGAUGUAUCCGAGAGUAUCUUUCUAGCUGUUCUUUUUUUUUUUUAAUGUUUAUUUACUUUUUGAAAGAGAGAAACAGCAUGAGUGGGGGAGGGGCAGAGAGAGAGGGAGACACAGAAUCCGAAGCAGGCUCCGGACAAUGAGCUGUUAGCACAGAGCCCAGAGCAGGGCUGGAACUCAAUGACCGCGAGAUCAUGACCUGAGCCGAAGUUGGAUGCUCAACCGACUGAGCCACCCAGGCGCCCCUCUUCCUAGCUGUUCUAAGCAGGGGUUCAACUUUUCCGAAUCACAGCUGCAGCUCAUAAUUUCUUCUUUCCAGAAAGAGCCCCCCAAACUCUUUAUGACAGUGACUUGUUUGAGGAUGAGAUCUGGAUAAAUGGGGGAAUGUGACAUAUUGACUCAAAAGAAUCUUUUUGAAGACAAGAGGUUGUAUGGAUCGGAAAAGAGAAGUGGCAAGAGACCCGUGCGCUUUCUCGAACGCAGGAUGAGAGAGCUCACUUCUGAUGCAGAGCCAGGUGGGAUCAGAGAAUGAGGCCAGCACGGGGCAUUCAGUGAGUGGUCAAAAUGACUACGAGUGUCUCUGCAGUUCCUUACAGUUUACAGGACGCUCUGUCACCACCUCCCUAUGAGGCUUUGGCAUUAGGUAUAGUUAAAAUGCUGGUUUCACAGUUAAAAAAAAAAUUGUGGCUUGAGGGUGCCUGGGUGGCUCAGUUGGUUAAGCGUUCAGCUGUUGUUUCAGCUCAGGUUAGGUCGAGUCCUGGGCUGGGCUCCGUGCUGACAGUGCGGAGCCUGCUUGCGAUUCUCUCUCUCUCUCUCUCUCUCUCUCUCUCUCUGAAGAAUAAAUUAAAAAAAGAAAGAAAAGAAAAAGAAAAUCGUGGCUUGGAAGGAUGUUCUGCCCAGAAUUGGCUUGUCACUGAACGGUGGACCUGGGUCUCAAGUACAAGUUUCUUUGUUUCUACUUCGUCGUGUGCCCCACGUAUUGUAUCAGCUACAAAGGGAGUGGAGUUCUUGGUUUCAUUUUCAGCCUCGUCCAGAAGGUAGUAGAGUUAUUGUAAUUCUGUUUCAGGCCCGUUGUGACUUAACUACUUCACAAGCCCUUUGGAAUGCCUCAGACACAGCUAAGUAUGAUUUAAUCAAGGUCCUAGUUUUUCUAUGGUUUCCGUAUAUUCGUAUUCGGAUUCCUUUCCCUGGGACAGGACAGGGUUUUCACAGGCAUCAGAACUUAUUUAAAUCUUUUCCCAUCUCCCCCAAUUUUUGUUACAGCUAACGUCCUGGGUAAGGAAGACCACCGCUGUCUUAGUGUUCUGCACCCAGAGGACGAGGGAACAGGAAGCUCAUUCCCAGUCACCGUGUUUCAUCACUGACCACGUCCCUGGGACGGUCUCCCUUGAGGGUCUCUUGAAAUGCUCAUGCUUGGGUUUCUGAUGCUCUCUUGGUGAACCAAGGUGGUCUGUCCGUUAUUGUUGCAAAAGCCCAGGUUUAGAAAAACCUGAGAGAUUGACACUUACAGAUGGCAAACAUCAGACAGGAGCCCCUGUGAGUAGUUCUCUCAGAAGCACACAACCAGUCAAUCAAUCAAUCAAUCAAUCAAUAUAAAUACAAUUUUCAGGACCAGUCUGAAGUAACCACUUUCUCCUUCUGCUUAGUAAUUGCCUGACUUCUUAUAACGGGAGGCGGCACACUGAAUUCCUGUCACUGUAUUGAGGCCCCAAUUGUUCCUGUCACUCAGUCACUAAAUCAGGUUGAUGUUUAUUUAGAGUCUCGGUAAGUGAUCUUUCUGCCUUUCUCACAUGCUCUCUGUAUCUUCUCCGGCUUGGGAUGAUUCUACUGUUUCCCACCCAGGGUCCUAAUUCUAAUUUCUCCAGCCCCGAACUCUGCAAUUCUGGUCAUUCUGUGAUCUGUCUUAUGCAUAGGGUGACUGGCUUCCCAUUGCCUUAGGUUCAGGUGGGAACUUUGCAGUCAAUUUUUUUUUUUCAUAAUAAUACUUUCUGCUUGCAUUAACUAGCACUAAUAACAACUCCAGUUUUCUUUUCAGUGCCUUCUCAUUUGUUCUUUUGUUUUUCUUUUUCUUUUUUUAAACAACUUUCUUCACCUGCCAUUCUCUCCUCUCUGCCUAGCAGAGUUUUCCCAGUUCCAUUUCAAGUUCCAUCUCCUUGAAUAAAUUCCCCUAAUUAACACGUCUAGCCUCUGAUAAUGUGCUUUGAUGACAUUUAACAAUUGGGUGCCAUUAUUAUCAAUGGCAAAUUUAUAAUGCUUCUAUUCUUUUCUCUCAUUAAACUACACCUUAGGGCCUCAGUCAUGGUUUUCCACUACUCUAAGGUUUGUGUUUUUAAUUGACUAAGGUUUUUUUUUUGUUUUUUU
rnacentral:lncRNA from 1 species